UACGUAGGGUGCAAGCGUUAAUCGGAAUUACUGGGCGUAAAGCGUGCGCAGGCGGUGAUGUAAGACAGUUGUGAAAUCCCCGGGCUCAACCUGGGAACUGCAUCUGUGACUGCAUCGCUGGAGUGCGGCAGAGGGGAUGGAAUUCCGGCGUGUAGCAGUGAAAUGCGUAGAUAUGCGGAGGAACACCGAUGGCGAAGGCAAUCCCCUGGGCCUGCACUGACGCUCAUGCACGAAAGCGUGGGGAGCAAACAGG
rnacentral:rRNA from 1 species